GGGGGUGGGGCUCCCUCGGAGCCGGCUUCAAAGCGCCUCAAGCUGCUGUGAGCGUUGAGGAAAAGGCCGGACUUGAUCCGGUCAGGU
rfam:Chelativorans sp. BNC1 plasmid 2, complete sequence.